CGCGUGGCUGGUCGGGCAACCAACGGCAGCGGCCACGGGAUACCCGGGACUGUGGGAUAGUCUUGAGACCCCGGGCGAGGUGGCGAACUCAGCGCCUCGAGACGAACGGCUGACGAGU
rnacentral:ncRNA from 1 species